CAAUCUGGCAGGGGAAGUGGGGCUGCCAUUUUGUCACAGUCAGGCGGGAGUGGAAGGCCAGGUUCACCACUGGCCUCCACUGACAUUCAAGUGGUGUUCCUAACUAUGGAUGGGCAUUUCCACUUCUCUUCCCUCAAAAAGGGCCACACACAGCUGAUACCAUGGGCCCUAGGAGAAGGACACCUGGCGAGGACAUCUAAUCCUGUCUGGCAGGAACAUUUGAGACUCAGGACUCCUGAAAGUUUACUUACCUCAUCCCUCCGCUUUCAGCCAACUCUUGCUGACAGGCUCUUCCAGAGAAAGUUUGCCCUGUGACCUGAGCCAGAACACACCCCAACCCUCUCUGGAGAGAAGCAGAGUCAAGGAAAGAAGAGAUUUCAUAGUGUGGACAGUGUUGGUUCUUCAGCGCCGAGGCCUCUCGAGU
rnacentral:lncRNA from 1 species